rnacentral:rRNA from 1 species
UUGGAGGAAAGCAGGGGAUCGAAAGACCUUGUGCUUUUAGAGCGGCCGAUGCCUGAUUAGCUAGUUGGUAAGGUAAAGGCUUACCAAGGCAACGAUCAGUAGCUGGUCUGAGAGGACGACCAGCCACACUGGGACUGAGACACGGCCCAGACUCCUACGGGAGGCAGCAGUGGGGAAUUUUGGACAAUGGGCGCAAGCCUGAUCCAGCCAUGCCGCGUGAGUGAAGAAGGCCUUCGGGUUGUAAAGCUCUUUCGGUCGGGAAGAAAUAGUUAUGGCUAAUAUCCAUAAUGAAUGACGGUACCGACAUAAGAAGCACCGGCUAACUACGUGCCAGCAGCCGCGGUAAUACGUAGGGUGCAAGCGUUAAUCGGAAUUAUUGGGCGUAAAGGGUGCGCAGGCGGAUGUAUAAGUCAGAUGUGAAAUCCCUGGGCUUAACCUAGGAAUUGCGUUUGAAACUACAAAGCUAGA